GCUUACGGCCACAUUGCCUGGUUCACGCCCGAUCUCGUUUGAUCUCGGAAGCUAAGAUAGGUUGGGCCUGGUUAGUACUUGGAUGGGUUGACCGCCUGGGAAUACCAGGUGCUGUAAACU
rnacentral:rRNA from 1 species